rnacentral:tRNA from 2 species
GGGGGCGUGGCGGAAUCGGUAUACGCACCGGACUUAAAAUCCGGAGCCUGAAAAGGAUUGUGGGUUCGAGUCCCACCGCCCCUA